rnacentral:rRNA from 1 species
AAUGGCAGGUCAGCACACUGCCGUGAAUACGUUCCCGGGCCUUGUACACACCGCCCGUCACACCAUGAGAGUUGGGAAUACCCGAAGCCUGUGAGCUAACAUUUAUGAGGCAGCAGUCGAAGGUAGAAUCAAUGAUUGGGGUGAAGUCGUAACAAGGUAAC